UAAGCGGAGGAAAAGAAACUAACAAGGAUUCCCCUAGUACUGCGAGUGAAGCGGGAAAANGCUCAAAUUUAAAAUCUGGUGGUCUUUGGCCNUCCGAGUUGUAAUUUAGAGAAGCGUCUUCCGCGCUGGACCGUGCACAAGUCUCCUGGAAUGGAGCGUCAUAGAGGGUGAGAAUCCCGUCUUUGGCAUGGAAUCCCAGGGCUUCUGUGAUGCGCUCUCGACGAGUCGAGUUGUUUGGGAAUGCAGCUCAAAAUGGGUGGUGAACUCCCAUCUAAAGCUAAAUAUUGGCGAGAGACCGAUAGCGAACAAGUACCGUGAGGGAAAGAUGAAAAGCACUUUGGAAAGAGAGUGAAACAGUACGUGAAAUUGUUGAAAGGGAAACGCUUGAAGUCAGUCGCGUCGACCGAGACUCAGCCUCGCCUCGGCUUGGUGUACUUCUCGGCUGACGGGUCAGCAUCAAUUUUGAUCCUCGGAUAAUGGCAAGGGAAAGGUAGCACCUUUUUAGGUGUGUUAUAGUCCUCUGUCGCAUGCGAGGGUCAGGAUUGAGGAACUCAGUACGCACCUCAGGGUGUCGGGGCCUUUUGGCCCACGUUUACGUGCUUAGGAUGUUGGCGUAAUGGCUUUAAACGACC
rnacentral:rRNA from 1 species